rnacentral:misc_RNA from 1 species
AAGUCGUAACAAGGUUUCCGUAGGUGAACCUGCGGAAGGAUCAUCACCAAUUCAGGAGAUAUUUCUCCUUUUUAACACAUUGGAUGAAAAGUGGAAUAUGUAAGCAGUCGGGGACAAGAGUAUGAGAGGCGAGCUAAUUUAACGAUUAGCGAGUCGAUCUGCUCUCCCGACUCUUCUCUUUAAACUAUUAAAAACUAUAAACCAUUAGCCAUAAAAAGAAUUCAUAAUAAAAUACAACUUUCAACAAUGGAUCUCUUGGCUCUU